AUGACUUUUGAACAUUUAUAACUUGCCCUGAAGUUCUUCCAUACACAUCCAGGCAAGUCUUGAUCUGUUGACACUCUCUUUCUGUUGCCUUAAAGAACAAGCUGUCAUCAGCAAAGAACAGAUGGGAGAUGGAAGGAGCACCUCUUGCAACUCUACAACCAUGCAGCAAACCUUUACGUUCAGCAUCCAAUAACAGAGCUAAUAAU
rnacentral:misc_RNA from 1 species